UAGGGAAUCUUCCGCAAUGGGCGAAAGCCUGACGGAGCAACGCCGCGUGAGUGAUGAAGGUCUUCGGAUCGUAAAACUCUGUUAUUAGGGAAGAACAAAUGUGUAAGUAACUAUGCACGUCUUGACGGUACCUAAUCAGAAAGCCACGGCUAACUACGUGCCAGCAGCCGCGGUAAUACGUAGGUGGCAAGCGUUAUCCGGAAUUAUUGGGCGUAAAGCGCGCGUAGGCGGUUCUUUAAGUCUGAUGUGAAAGCCCACGGCUCAACCGUGGAGGGUCAUUGGAAACUGUAAAACUUGAGUGCAGAAGAGGAAAGUGGAAUUCCAUGUGUAGCGGUGAAAUGCGCAGAGAUAUGGAGGAACACCAGUGGCGAAGGCGACUUUCUGGUCUGUAACUGACGCUGAUGUGCGAAAGCGUGGGGAUCAAACA
rnacentral:rRNA from 1 species